UACGUAGGGGGCAAGCGUUUGUCCGGAAUCAUUGGGCGUAAAGCGCGUUGUAGGCGGCCCGGUAAGUCCGCUGUGAAAGUCGGGGGCUCAACCCUCGAAUGCCGGUGGAUACUGUCGGGCUAGAGUGCGGAAGAGGCGAGUGGAAUUCCUGGUGUAGCGGUGAAAUGCGCAGAUAUCAGGAGGAACACCAAUGGCGAAGGCAGCUCGCUGGGACGUGACUGACGCUGGAGACGCGAAA
rnacentral:rRNA from 1 species